rnacentral:lncRNA from 1 species
CUGUUCAAAAAAAAUUUGGGAAAAAAGUGGAGCUGCCUAAAUUGUAAAUUGGGGCUACUUGUCAGAACCUUGAGGACUGAAAAGUACAUCUUGAAUUAAAAUAUGGUCUUGUGCCUGUGAAUCAGUAAAGGAUGUUUAUAGAUGUGAAAUGUUCUAAUGUUGUCUGGAAACAGCUGCUAAUCUUGGAUGAGUAUCAGGUUGUUUCCUGGCCUCCCUUCUGUGACCUUUGACCAAGGCCAACCUUUAGCUGGAGAAUGUGACAUUUUGUUCUCCUCUGGCUGACAUGUGAUGCUCUCAUUAUUCAAAGGCUCUUGAAAGAGUAGAAAGGGGGCAGCUCAUGAAAGGGAGAGGGAACUGAUAACAUAACAUUUCUAAGAAGACCAUGAAUACAAAGUUUGGGCUUAGCAUGCAGUUAGGGUAGGUUAAAAGAAAGUCAUAAAAAAAUAAAAAAAAUACAUUUUGUUCUUUUUGUGUAAGUGAUACCAUUCACUGGAGAUUUUUUUUUCUGAAGAAAGGGAAAG